rnacentral:misc_RNA from 1 species
UCUCCGUAGGUGAACCUGCGGAGGGAUCAUUACAGAGUUCAUGCCCUACCGGGUAGAUCUCCCACCCUAUGUUAUUAUUACUUAGUUGCUUUGGCGGGCCGUUAGGCUCCGGCCCGACUACCGGCCCCGGCUGGUAAGCGCCCGCCAGAGGACCCAAAACCCUGAAUAUUAGUGUCGUCUGAGUACUAUAUAAUAGUAAAAACUUUCAACAACGGAUCUCUUGGUUCUG